rnacentral:rRNA from 1 species
AUGAACCGGCAAUGGAUGUACAGUGACAGACACACCUCCGAGUAUAUUAAGGGCGUGCAUAAUUUUCUCGAAGUGGCUGAGGCAAACAAGCAGAAUGGUUUUAUGUGUUGUCCAUGCCCUAUAUGUUGGAAUAUGAAGUCUUACUCUGACUCGAAAACCAUUCACACCUACCUGCUUUAUAAGGGUUUCAUACCACACUAUAAUGUUUGGACCAAGCACGGAGAAAUAGGGGUUAUGAUGGAAUACAACGAAGAAGAAGGGGACGAUGACAACUAUGUGCCCCCUGAAUACGGUGAUGCUGCAACGGGGGAAGCUGUUGAAGAUCAAGAGGAACCGGACGAUGUGCCCGAUGAUGAUCUCCGCCGGGUCAUUGCUGAUGCAAGGAGACAGUGCAAAAGUCAAAAGAAGCUGAAGUUUGAUCGCAUGUUAGAGGAUUACGAAAAAGGUUCCCUCCGGUUUGUCCAAAGUGGGACUUUCCCGAUAUAUAAGUUCGAAAACUCGAUCACUAGAGAAGAAAGUGAUGACAGUGAAGCCGGUCACAUCCCAGAGUGGGAUCUUUGGGUGUAA